rnacentral:rRNA from 1 species
UGGCGGACGGGUGAGUAAUGUCUGGGAAACUGCCCGAUGGAGGGGGAUAACUACUGGAAACGGUAGCUAAUACCGCAUAACGUCGCAAGACCAAAGAGGGGGACCUUCGGGCCUCUUGCCAUCGGAUGUGCCCAGAUGGGAUUAGCUAGUAGGUGGGGUAACGGCUCACCUAGGCGAUGAUCCCUAGCUGGUCUGAGAGGAUGACCAGCCACACUGGAACUGAGACACGGUCCAG